rnacentral:rRNA from 1 species
UUUUAUGGAGAGUUUGAUCCUGGCUCAGAGUGAACGCUGGCGGCGUGCCUAAUACAUGCAAGUCGAACGAUGAAGCUUCUAGCUUGCUAGAAUGCUGAUUAGUGGCGCACGGGUGAGUAACGCAUAGGUCAUGUGCCUCUUAGUUUGGGAUAGCCAUUGGAAACGAUGAUUAAUACCAGAUACUCCCUACGGGGGAAAGAUUUAUCGCUAAGAGAUCAGCCUAUGUCCUAUCAGCUUGUUGGUAAGGUAAUGGCUUACCAAGGCUAUGACGGGUAUCCGGCCUGAGAGGGUGAACGGACACACUGGAACUGAGACACGGUCCAGACUCCUACGGGAGGCAGCAGUAGGGAAUAUUGCUCAAUGGGGGAAACCCUGAAGCAGCAACGCCGCGUGGAGGAUGAAGGUUUUAGGAUUGUAAACUCCUUUUGUUAGAGAAGAUAAUGACGGUAUCUAACGAAUAAGCACCGGCUAACUCCGUGCCAGCAGCCGCGGUAAUACGGAGGGUGCAAGCGUUACUCGGAAUCACUGGGCGUAAAGAGCGCGUAGGCGGGAUAGUCAGUCAGGUGUGAAAUCCUAUGGCUUAACCAUAGAACUGCAUUUGAAACUACUAUUCUAGAGUGUGGGAGAGGUAGGUGGAAUUCUUGGUGUAGGGGUAAAAUCCGUAGAGAUCAAGAGGAAUACUCAUUGCGAAGGCGACCUGCUGGAACAUUACUGACGCUGAUUGCGCGAAAGCGUGGGGAGCAAACAGGAUUAGAUACCCUGGUAGUCCACGCCCUAAACGAUGGAUGCUAGUUGUUGGAGGGCUUAGUCUCUCCAGUAAUGCAGCUAACGCAUUAAGCAUCCCGCCUGGGGAGUACGGUCGCAAGAUUAAAACUCAAAGGAAUAGACGGGGACCCGCACAAGCGGUGGAGCAUGUGGUUUAAUUCGAAGAUACACGAAGAACCUUACCUAGGCUUGACAUUGAGAGAAUCCGCUAGAAAUAGUGGAGUGUCUAGCUUGCUAGACCUUGAAAACAGGUGCUGCACGGCUGUCGUCAGCUCGUGUCGUGAGAUGUUGGGUUAAGUCCCGCAACGAGCGCAACCCCCUUUCUUAGUUGCUAACAGGUCAUGCUGAGAACUCUAAGGAUACUGCCUCCGUAAGGAGGAGGAAGGUGGGGACGACGUCAAGUCAUCAUGGCCCUUACGCCUAGGGCUACACACGUGCUACAAUGGGGUGCACAAAGAGAAGCAAUACUGCGAAGUGGAGCCAAUCUUCAAAACACCUCUCAGUUCGGAUUGUAGGCUGCAACUCGCCUGCAUGAAGCUGGAAUCGCUAGUAAUCGCAAAUCAGCCAUGUUGCGGUGAAUACGUUCCCGGGUCUUGUACUCACCGCCCGUCACACCAUGGGAGUUGUGUUUGCCUUAAGUCAGGAUGCUAAACUAGCUACUGCCCACGGCACACACAGCGACUGGGGUGAAGUCGUAACAAGGUAACCGUAGGUGAACCUGCGGUUGGAUCACCUCCUUUCUAGA